rnacentral:rRNA from 1 species
UACGGAGGUGGCAAGCGUUGCUCGGAUUUACUGGGUGUAAAGGGCAAGUAGGCGGUCUUGUAAGUCGGGUGUGAAAUCCCACGGCUCAACCGUGGAACUGCGCUCGAAACUACAAGACUUGAGGACAGGAGAGGCGAAUAGAAUUCCCGGUGUAAGGGUGAAAUCUGUAGAUAUCGGGAGGAAUACCAGUGGCGAAGGCGAUUCGCUGGUCUGUCCCUGACGCUGAGAGGCGAAAGCUAGGGUAGCAAACAGG